GGAACUCAGAGAGGCCGGGCUCCCCGCGGGCGUGGUAACCUAAUCCUGGCCUGGCGGGGAGGGCACGGAAAACGGCCGCGAGGCCCGGCAGUGCUGAGGUUACGUAAAAGGUGCCGGUGUCCGAGAUGCAAAAACGCACUGCACGCCGCUCCACGCACAAGCUCCUGUUUUUCUCGCAGACUCGCAGUGAAUACCAUCGUGGCCAGCUCAGGAGAAGUUGUGAAAUGAUCACGGCACAGUCCCCACCCCACAGAAACUGACACCGUGCAAGGAAAGGCCAAAAUCACAGAGUCAUCUCCCACCUCACACUGACCUCUCUGAAGAACUCCAGUCACAGCUGAUGUGUUCAGAACUUUCCGA